GGCUCAGGAUGAACGCUAGCUACAGGCUUAACACAUGCAAGUCGAGGGGCAUCAGGAAGAAAGCUUGUUUUGAUGGAUGGCGACCGGCGCACGGGUGAGUAACACGUAUCCAACCUGCCGACAACACUGGGAUAGCCUUUCGAAAGAAAGAUUAAUACCGGAUGGCAUAGUUUUCCCGCAUGGGAUAAUUAUUAAAGAAUUUCGGUUGUCGAUGGGGAUGCGUUCCAUUAGGCAGUUGGCGGGGUAACGGCCCACCAAACCAACGAUGGAUAGGGGUUCUGAGAGGAAGGUCCCCCACAUUGGAACUGAGACACGGUCCAAACUCCUACGGGAGGCAGCAGUGAGGAAUAUUGGUCAAUGGACGAGAGUCUGAACCAGCCAAGUAGCGUGAAGGAUGACUGCCCUAUGGGUUGUAAACUUCUUUUAUACGGGAAUAAAGUUAGCCACGUGUGGCUUUUUGUAUGUACCGUAUGAAUAAGGAUCGGCUAACUCCGUGCCAGCAGCCGCGGUAAUACGGAGGAUCCGAGCGUUAUCCGGAUUUAUUGGGUUUAAAGGGAGCGUAGGCGGGUUGUUAAGUCAGUUGUGAAAGUUUGCGGCUCAACCGUAAAAUUGCAGUUGAUACUGGCGACCUUGAGUGCAACAGAGGUAGGCGGAAUUCGUGGUGUAGCGGUGAAAUGCUUAGAUAUCACGAAGAACUCCGAUUGCGAAGGCAGCUUACUGGAUUGUAACUGACGCUGAUGCUCGAAAGUGUGGGUAUCAAACAGGAUUAGAUACCCUGGUAGUCCACACAGUAAACGAUGAAUACUCGCUGUUGGCGAUAUACGGUCAGCGGCCAAGCGAAAGCAUUAAGUAUUCCACCUGGGGAGUACGCCGGCAACGGUGAAACUCAAAGGAAUUGACGGGGGCCCGCACAAGCGGAGGAACAUGUGGUUUAAUUCGAUGAUACGCGAGGAACCUUACCCGGGCUUAAAUUGUAACUGACUGAACCGGAAACGGUUCUUUCUUCGGACAGUUGUGAAGGUGCUGCAUGGUUGUCGUCAGCUCGUGCCGUGAGGUGUCGGCUUAAGUGCCAUAACGAGCGCAACCCUUACGGGUAGUUACCAUCAGGUUAUGCUGGGGACUCUACCCGGACUGCCGUCGUAAGAUGUGAGGAAGGUGGGGAUGACGUCAAAUCAGCACGGCCCUUACGUCCGGGGCUACACACGUGUUACAAUGGGGGGUACAGAAGGCAGCUACACGGCGACGUGGUGCUAAUCCCGAAAGCCUCUCUCAGUUCGGAUUGGAGUCUGCAACCCGACUCCAUGAAGCUGGAUUCGCUAGUAAUCGCGCAUCGGCCACGGCGCGGUGAAUACGUUCCCGGGCCUUGUACACACCGCCCGUCAAGCCAUGAAAGCCGGGGGUACCUGAAGUACGUAACCGCGAGGAGCGUCCUAGGGUA
rnacentral:rRNA from 1 species